CGCCCAUCAGCGCAGAAUCGUGAUCUGAUUUGAUACAAUUUCCCCCGUCUUCUUUGUGAUUGGACGAAGUGGAAAUCCCGCCUCACUGUUUUGUGACUGGCAGUUUCAUGCUAGGUCAGUAAUGGAGUAAAUUGUUCAGGAUCAACAAAGUUUCAUCGGGAAUAUCGUUUCAUUAAACGAUGGACAAGCAGUCGUUGUUUAUGCAGCACAGAGGAGCAUGGAUCUUUGAACUCCCGCACUGUUGAACUCGCAUGUGUAAAUCUGCAUGCUUCAUGCUGCAAGGCUGUAGAGUGAGCCAGGAUGCCGGAGAUAGUACAGAAUCAAACGAAAAACUUAAAACCGCCACGGCGGAAGAAAAACAAGGAGAUUCACAAUGCAGGUAAGAAACAACUGAUACAAUUUACUAGUGUGAUUCUUU